rnacentral:rRNA from 1 species
UACGUAGGUGGCAAGCGUUGUCCGGAAUUAUUGGGCGUAAAGCGCGCGCAGGCGGUCCUUUAAGUCUGAUGUGAAAGCCCACGGCUCAACCGUGGAGGGUCAUUGGAAACUGGGGGACUUGAGUACAGAAGAGAAGAGUGGAAUUCCACGUGUAGCGGUGAAAUGCGUAGAGAUGUGGAGGAACACCAGUGGCGAAGGCGGAUCUCUGGGCCUGUCCUGACGCUCAGGCGCGAAAGCUAGGGGAGCAAACAGG